rnacentral:rRNA from 1 species
GAUGAACGCUGGCGGCGUGCCUAAUACAUGCAAGUCGAGCGAACGGACGAGAAGCUUGCUUCUCUGAUGUUAGCGGCGGACGGGUGAGUAACACGUGGAUAACCUACCUAUAAGACUGGGAUAACUUCGGGAAACCGGAGCUAAUACCGGAUAAUAUUUUGAACCGCAUGGUUCAAAAGUGAAAGACGGUCUUGCUGUCACUUAUAGAUGGAUCCGCGCUGCAUUAGCUAGUUGGUAAGGUAACGGCUUACCAAGGCAACGAUGCAUAGCCGACCUGAGAGGGGGAUAGGCCACACUGGAACUGAGACACGGUCCAGACUCGUACGGGAGGCAGCAGUAGGGAAUCUUAAGCAAUGGGCGAAAGCCUGACGGAGCAACGACGCGUGAGUGAUGAAGGUCUUCGGAUCGUAAAACUCUGUUAUUAGGGAAGAACAAAUGUGUAAGGAACUAUGCACGUCGUGACGGUACCUAAUCAGAAAGCAACGGCUAACUACGUG